CAAAGAGGAUAAGCCUAGUCAAAAUUUAACUCAAUUUCUACUUUUCACAGGGUGACAAACUAAAUGAAUCUCAAACACAAGGGACCAAGAUCUUCUAGAAUAUACUUUCUGAAGAUAGAGCGGGGGAAAAGAAGGAAAAUGUACUCUGACAUAGAAGCAAUAGUAUUAACAAUUACGGCAUUAUUCCAAGUGCUUUAUAUAAUUUAAUCCUAAGCAACAACUCUAUGGAGUUAGUAUGCUAUACAAUUUUCACUUUUACUAUGAGGACACUAAGCCACAAAAAUAUUAAUUCUUUUGCCCUAAAUUAUACAGCUAGCAAGCUGCAAGAACAGGGCUUAGGUCCUGGCAAUCUGGUGCUGGAUCCAAUGCAUUUUUUCAGGAGGAUAGAGAUACCUCAAAAUAAAGUAAUGAGCCAUUUGCAGAUGCGACCCAUUUGGGAGUUAUAAUUUUGUUGCUGAGGAAAUUAAAAUAUUCCAGAAGACCUCAUAAUGAGAGUGAGAUAUUUUAUAGGAUCUCAGCUAAAUUGGAAGAGAGCUGAGCUGCCAGGUGUUGGAGUAGCUGAUUCAAGCAACAAGCCAAGAAGAAAAGGGAUAAGUCUUUAAUCUCUCAUUACGAUGAUGUAAGAGGCUGCAACUUGGGAAAAUAUGGAUCCCCUGUCCUUUUCCCUGUGGAGUUUUGCACCUGUCUAGAGUCAGAAGAAUUGAUGCAGAUAAUUACCUUGAUUCCUAGAGAAGAUCAGAAAGAAUGCUUAUAUUUCAAAAGGCAUAGAGAAAAACAAUGCAAGUUCUACCAAGAAGGGCUUUUGUUCCCCAAAUGCAGAUCUUUUACAAUAUCUGCAAGCCUUUUGAGAUCAAUAAAAAAAGUUUCGAGUUUGGUAAAAAGGAGAGAUGAGCUUUGGAUUAUUUCUAGAGUCCCAUUUCUGUUCUUGUAAAAACUUGAUUUGUAAGACAAUUACAGUAAUUUCUAAUUCCUCAAAGAAUUGGAUUCAACCUGAAUGAUGUCAAGAGGAUGACACACCUAUCCAACUGCAUAAUACUUGCUUUGCUUUUUUAUAUUAGGGAGAAGAUCUUUAAAAUGGAAUUCAAAUAAUUCCUAUAUUCUAGAUUUCAAACUGUUUACUUUUGGGAUGUUUUAGUAAAUCUUCUACAAAGGUUUCAUGAAUGUUUUUUUUCCCCUCUAUGAACACAGUUACAUUUUAACUUAGGAUACAAGAACUGGAAAAAAAAAAAGUUCCUAUAAGCCUCUGAAUGUCAGGCUUCACAGUAUACCCAGUCCAGCUUCUAAGUCAGACCCAGUUUGCCUCUAGCUGGUUUCCAGACCCAGUCCUGUUUCAAAGUCAGACACAGUGUGACCCUGGACUUAAUUCGAUUUCUAAGUCAGAUCCAGUCUGACUCUGCCCAGUUUCUGGACCCAGUACAGAAAAGGAAAUGUUUGAAUAAGUCUAAAUGUUUAUAGUGCAAAAAACUGCAGCGCUAGGAUCUGAGAGGAGUAACUUACCCACUACCUCCAGGGGCUAUGAGAGCACAGUAACCUCAGGAGGUUGGGGUGAUGUUCAUCGCAUAUCUUCACCUGCUCAUUGCUUCCGGGUCAUCAGGGUCUCCAGUUCUUGCUUCUAAUACCAGAACUUUUAAAAGAUUAAUUGAGGCAUAUUUAAAAUUUUAAGAGUUUAUUUAGGCAAAAAUCAAUUUGAAUCAGGCAACAUGCCACCUAGCAGAAAGAAAAAAGCUCCAGGGAACUGUACAAAAAGAAAGAUUUUUAUAGGCAGAAGGGAGAGGGAACAGGAAGUUAAGCUAGGCUACCAUUCCUCUAUGAAAAAAAAAAAAAAAAAGUUAUGCUAGGCAAAAAAGUGGAUUGAUUAUUGCAAGGUUACUUUUCUUUAGGAGAUGGAAGGAGUGUACUAGGCAGGUUACCUCCCCAGUGCUGAUCAGGAGAUUCUUCUUUGACCAGUUUAAGAUUUAUUCCUGAGAUAAUCAAAAUUCUAUUUAAAUCUUGGUUUGGUGACAUGGGGCUAAACAUAAAUGACUCUAUUUUUGACUAGUCUUGUUUUUAAUACUAUUAGCAUUAAUAAAUAAUGAUAAAUUCAGAUAAAAUGCUAAUUG
ensembl:lncRNA